UCUAAGGAGUAUCUCUCCACCGUUGAGUAGUCAUACGACUACCCGGUGCGAGACACUUCCAGUUGGUGCACUGGUGUCGUUCGUCGCUUCCCACUAAGAGUGGUCGUAGGGAUUCGGUCCCUCCUGCUCCAACGUGGCAACGACGUCCACCGUCUUCUCUUUCGUUUUGAGGGAGUUCCCUCUUGAUGCCGCUGUGUUGAGCCGUUUGGUUCCGCAUGCAUCGCAUUCGCACCUUGAGAACUGCAGAGCAAGCACGAGCAUCUUGUUCGUUUUAUUUUUAAAACGAUCGUAAGA
rnacentral:misc_RNA from 1 species